rnacentral:rRNA from 1 species
GACGAACGCUGGCGGCGUGCCUAAUACAUGCAAGUUGAACGCAACAAAGACACCAGAGCUUGCUCUACCGUCUUUGUUGAGUAGCGAACGGGUGAGUAACGCGUGGGUAACCUGCCUUAUAGCGGGGGAUAACUAUUGGAAACGAUAGCUAAUACCGCAUAACAAUAGAGAUUGCAUAAUCUUUAUUUGAAAGUGCCAACUGGUACACUAUGAGAUGGACCCGCGUUGUAUUAGCUAGUUGGUAGUGUAAUGGACUACCAAGGCGAUGAUACAUAGCCGACCUGAGAGGGUGAUCGGCCACAUUGGGACUGAGACACGGCCCAAACUCCUACGGGAGGCAGCAGUA